rnacentral:lncRNA from 1 species
UAAACCACAUAAAGAAAAAAGGUUAGAGAGACCUUGAAUUCCACCUUUGGUAGUCAUAUUAGCAACAAUGUCAGAUACCUCCACAUGAAGCAUAUCAACAAUUUCUUGAGAAGACGAAAUCUUCUCCAAACCACUGAACGGUGACUGAUCGAGAAUAGGUAUACCCACAUGAUAGGCAUACUCCUCAAGUGUAGGCAAAACCUGGAAAUCCGGAAAAGUGAAGCAUCGAUACAAGGGAUCGUAGAACUGC